CUUGUACUCCCUCCCUCUGAAAAUACUUGUCAUUGAAAUGGAUGUAUCUAGAUGUAUUUUAGUUCUAGACACAUCCAUUUUGAUGACAAGUAAUUCCGGACGGAGGGAGUACUUG
rfam:Triticum aestivum genome assembly, contig: Triticum_aestivum_CS42_TGACv1_scaffold_160229_2DL